CUGUUCCAUCGACAACAAACAUGGCCGAGGUUGCUGCAGAUGACCGUACCUAUCUCCAAGCUUUUGCUAAUUUUUUGGGAGCGCCAGAACCUGCAUUACGACUCCUGAUAUCUAUACUUAUAGGAUAUCCUAUAGUGUUAAUACAUCGCUACACCUUAUACUGCAAAAGUCCAAAAUUACAACACCUGUACUUCAUUGUGACUGGAGUUAGUAUUGCCCUUUUCAACUAUGGUCACAAUGUGGUCCACUCAGCAGUGUGUGUCAUGGUGGCAUGGUUGCUGCUUCUUCUUAUAGGCGGAACUCUCAAAUCUGUCAUCAUUUCCUUUGUCUUCCAGAUGACAUAUCUUCUCGUUGGUUACUACAUGACAGGAACAGACACAUAUGACAUCAAAUGGAGUAUGCCUCACUGUGUGCUGACCUUGCGGCUCAUUGCUCUCACCUAUGAUGUAUAUGAUGGCAGAAAAGAUCCAGGAAAAUUGUCAAAUGAUCAACAAAAAACAGCCUUAUCAUUUACUCCAACACUAGUAGAAAUUGCAGCUCACACAUACUUCCCGGCAUCUUUCAUGGUUGGUCCACAGUUCUCUAUGCGACGGUACCUCGAUUUUGUCAAGGGAACACUGGUUGGAUGUGAGCUGCCACCAUGCUUGAUACCUGGACUACUUCGUGGUGGCUUAGGACUCUUCUACCUAGCAGUCUAUCAAGUGGGAAUCAGCUAUAUACCUGAUGCAUUUAUCAACUCGGAAGAAUAUUAUGAUCUGUCUUUGUGGCAGCGUCACAUGAUGGUUGGACUCUGGGCAAAAAUAACUCUGUACAAAUACAUCUCAUGUUGGUUAAUUGCUGAAGGGGUAUGCAUUAUGUCAGGCCUCUCGUACUCUGGUAAGGAUGCAAAUGGCAACUGCCUAUGGAACGGCUGUGCUAAUGUCAAGAUUGGACUGUAUGAGGGAGCCACCACUUUUGGUCACAUGAUUGCUUCCUUCAACACUAAUACAAAUGCUUGGGUAGCCCAAUACGUCUACAAGAGGUUGCGGUUCCUGAAUAACCGUUAUAUCUCUCAAACCUCGGCUCUGGUGUUCCUCGCCGUAUGGCAUGGUCUUCACUCCGGGUAUUAUGCCUGCUUCUUCAUGGAAUUUGUUGUUAUGAACUUUGAAAGAGAUAUUGUCAAUUAUGUGAACCAGUAUCCACGUCUGGUUUCAUUACUCAAUGCCGGUCCCUUGAAAUACUUCAAAUUUGUUGUCCUAAAACUGUACGUGGUAGUCUUCAUGGGCUACUGUUUAGGACCUUUUGUUUUGCUCAAGCUCCACAGGUGGUGGAAAUUCUACAGUUCUCUGUACUUCUCUGGACAUUUGUUCUUUGCUCUAUGGCCUUUUUAUGCUCCGGCAGUUAAAGCAAUAAUAAAAACCAUUGGUGGGGAGAGAGUGAAAGACGAUAAAGGUAAAAAGGAAUAAAUAGAUAUAAAACAGAAUUUGUGUGGAAAAUACUUGGGAGAAAACUUAUGCAUGAGGAAUAGUUUUCUUGUUAAGAGACUUAGCAUGCCUACCACAGGGAUUAUGAAAACUGAGAGAAGGUUUUUGAAAAUACACUUUGACUGGAGUUGUGAAGUUAACCUACAGGUACCUCCCAGCAGUCAGUCAACUGCACCAACUUACAAAGGAACUCCUCUCAGUAGUGCUUAUGUAAUGUUUAAAGUAAGAUUCUGCUUGAACCAUCCUCUUACAACUAUUGGCAGUAGGUAAUUGAAAAAUGUAAAGAAAAAAAAUAUACCUGUAUACUCGUUUGAAGAAAUUAAUAUAUUGACGAGUGGUGGGAGUAAUGAAGGAUGUUAAAAAAUAAAUUAAAUAAAAUUUCCAAGGAAUUUUGGGGAUACACUAUAAGUAUAACCUCAGAAAUCCGGAAAACAAUUUUCCAAAUCAUAGAAAAUUUUCACCUUUGAAAGAUAAUUAAAAGCUAAAACCAAUAUUGCAUUUUUUUUAACAUCCCAUAGACUGUGCUCUUGUUGGGAACAGUAGUCAGUUGAGUUCAUGUGUGGCAGUGCUUGUUCUUUUAAUUUGUGAGCUAUACGCUACUACCGGUACAUCUAAAUGUCUUGGAAGAGCUUCGGAUUAAUAUCUAAGACUCAUUAUGUAUGUACUUCAGAUACAGUGAAGAUUUAUUCAUAAAAUUUUCACUAUUGGACUACAAAUAUUUUAAAAGGUAGUAUAGUUGUGUAUGCCAACCUUCACCCUCAAUAGGUCACACUAAUCUUUGUUACGAGUACUGUACUCUACUGUAAUCUUGACAAUGGUAUGAAGCGUGUGUAUCUAGAUCUUCAGCCACUUAUUGGACAAUAAUAGGUACAGUACUGAAUUAGGUGAGCUAGUGGUAUAUCUACUUUCAUCUAGGAUUCUGUAAUGGGAAACAUCUUGAUAUCUCAAAAGGUCAGUAGUGUUUGUGUGUUACAGGUAUCUGGCAACUUCAUGGUCCUAACAUUUCCGGAUUUCUGAGGUCGUCAUACUAUAGUUCAGGGGAAAGUGUUAAGUCUUCUGGCAUGAUACUGUUUAUUGGAAAGGAUAAUAUAUGAAAAUAAAUUUGAAGGUGUGUUUCAGGAGAAUAUUUGAGGGAGAGAAUAAAGUCUAUACUGUACCUGUGUAUAUGGGAUUUCAGACAGGUAAAAAUUUGGAUGAAUGUGAAGAGAUUUUAUCACACUAUUUAAAGAUAUAUUAACUCUGCCUAUAGUUAUUCAGUAAAUAGAUAAAUGGAGAAUUGACCCUGAAUUCCCAUUUUUUUGACCUAGGAUUGAAACCUAGGACACCCCUCAACAAUAAUGGCUGGGACUAAACCAUUGAUUACUGAACUUAAAUCCUCCUGUUGUAGCGUAAACUUUAAGAAGGAGAAUUAGGAGCAAAAGUUCUCACACAAUGCUGAAGACUACAAUUCAUGGCAUCACACCAGAUGUGCACACUCUUCUAGUUCUUUCAGACUCUGCCAGUUUCGGCUGUCUUUGUCGAGCGGUUUCCUGGGUCUCAGUCUUGUAAACAUGGUGAGAUAUUACACAAAUCUGUUCAGAAAAGCACUGUCAUUAAUGAACACUAGAUACUGUACUGUAUUUAAUUUUCUCCUGCUUGCAGUGGAGAUGUAGUACAGUAAUAGACAAUGUCUUUCUUUGUUUGAGUCAUAGAUUAUGAAUGCAGUAUAAUUGAAACUAGUGUACCUACAGUCACCAUUUUUGUACCAAAGAUGUAUUGUGUCACCAAUUGUGUUCACAUGGGUGAGGUGACCUAGACCCAUUACUUUAAGGUUAGAAUAGGAAAUGGGUACAUUGUCUCUUCAUCUAGAGGACAUCUGUGUAAACCCUGACUCCAUUUCCCAUUGUAUAAGUCUCUUUGGGUUCUCUUGGAGGUUUCUUCUUCCUCAGGAAAAUUAUGAUGCAUUGUUUAGCUGAGUUGUGUGUGAGAGAGAGAGAAAUGGUUCUUGGUUUGAUGUACAUAAAUCCUGGCACCAUCUCUUAUUUUAUAUUGGUGUUCAAGGGUCUUGUUAAGUGAUGGGGACAUGGAUUCCUUUAGUAUUAGCCAUGUUAUUACUUGAGAGAGUCUAUGAUUUCAUUUUUGUCUUAGAUUGAUUAUAUUUAUCAUUCAGUUUGGAGGAAUGCUCUUUUUCCCUUUCCUUUUCUUUCUGUGUUAAGUUCAGUACAGUACAGGUAUUUAUUAAUUGUAAUACUGUAUUUGUUUGUUUUGAUUGUAGAGGUGGAAGACUGUGUGAGAAGAUGAAAUGAUGUAUAGUAUUUAUUUUUUUUAUUAUUUCUCCAUUCCCAUUCUACCAUUUGUAUUUCUCAAAUUUAAAGCAAGUUGGUGCUCGCAGAAUCUUCUUUAAAUAACUAAUUCAUCAAACAUAUUUGCUCUUUUAAGUUAUGAAAACUAGAAAUUGAACAUCUUUCAAAUAAUGUAGAAUUAAACAAUUUGGUAUGGCUAUUAUAUAGUCUACUUGAAACAUACCCCAGCUGAUAUUAUAAAAAAUCAGAAUGAGAGGUUUAACAUCUAGUGAAACCAUCAGUAUACCGUUCAUACAAAUAAGUAAUUGGCAUUCACCUUUGCAUGCCCUUUCAUCCCUUGCAUGUAAAACUUUAUUAUCAAAAUUGCUACUCCAUUUGCCUCUUGUAACUGUGUUACUGCUGUGUCUUAUAAGUAUUGAUAACUUACCACUUAAUGAAGUAUGUCACAUAUUUCAUGGAGACGGGUGGGCAUAAUUAAAUUACUUAAAUUGUUACUGAAAUUUGGAAAGCAAAGAGGUUACUUUUCUCUAAAAAAAAUAUCAUACAGGUAGUAAUAAUAUUGUAUAUAGUACAGUAUUGUGACUAUUAAUUAUUACUGAGAAAUGAAACAUGUCACAGAUUUCGUGUAAAUAGAACUUGGUAAAAAAAAAAUUAUUGAUUGAAAAUUUAGAAUACUAUGAUAAUGUAUUGGCAUUAAAACCUAGUAGUAUGUAAAGAGAUAUAGUAUCAAUUAAUGUUCAGGUAAUUUCUAAAUGUUUGUUUAUAUGAGUGAAGAAGAAAAUUGUAUUAUGUACUUAGAUGAAGCAGUUUAGAAAGGCAGGGUAACCAGUUGUGUGUACAUUGAGGCUGUGAGAACUCAACUCUAUUCCAUCUAAAUGUUUGUAUCAAACUCAGGUUCUGCUAGUGUUGCCUACUUUGUCACUGUGACUCCUACUCACUUAAUUAUAUGGAUAGCAUCUUCUUUAUUAUUUGUCCUUGUAUCCAUACUUAUAGUAGCUUUGGAUAGAACAAUAUUUCAGUAUUACUGGGUAUCUUUUUAGAUGUUAAUAUUGCACUGUAAACUGUAUGAUCAUUCAUGUAUCAGACAUCAGUUAUGAUUAAAUAUCUUCAUAACAAAGGAAGUCCGUGCAAACACUUGGAUCUGUAGAGGAAUAAUUUUAUAUAAUUAUUACACUGCA